UCCGAAUGCCGGCGGCCCAGAGCGCGGCAGUCAGAGCAUGUGGGCUAAGCUGUGUGCUCGAGAGGGAAACGGCCCGGACCGCCCGCUAAGGUCCCCAAGUUCCAGCCGAGUGGCAAAGGAUGUGCGU
rnacentral:rRNA from 1 species